rnacentral:misc_RNA from 1 species
UGGGGGAGGAGCCGGGACCCCUGCCUGACUACCUGGGGCGGGCCUGGCCCCUCCACCGCUAGCGCUGAAUGGGGACGGGGUGGGGGAGUCCCAGCGUCCGUGAGGGGGUUGCCGCCGGGCACCGCUCCGCAGACCUGGCUGGGUCGCCCACCCCGGCUGCGCCCCCUGAGCCAGGUUCACGGCCGAGGUGGUAGACAUCUACUACGAGGGCGACCAGGUGGUGGAGGAGGACCCGGAGCUGCAGGACUUCGUGAACGAUGUCUACGUGUACGGCAUGCGGGGCCGCAAGUCCUCAGGCUUCCCCAAGUCGGUCAAGAGCCGGGAGCAGCUGUCGGAGUACCUGACCGUGGUGAUCUUCACCGCCUCCGCCCAGCACGCCGCGGUCAACUUCGGCCAGUACGACUGGUGCUCCUGGAUCCCCAAUGCGCCCCCAACCAUGCGAGCCCCGCCACCGACUGCCAAGGGCGUGGUGACCAUUGAGCAGAUCGUGGACACGCUGCCCGACCGCGGCCGC